rnacentral:lncRNA from 1 species
CUGGCUUGUCUAGAGAGUGAGGCACAGGCUUACAACAGCAUUCACAUUCAUUUCCUAAUGAGGUAAGCCUAUCAAUGUUCUCUGUUGGUUGGAUUCGUUUGUUUUAUGCACCAUUGAUCAAUUCGAAUGUCAAAGAAGCAACAACCAUGUUCUUUCCGUGACAACUUAAUGCUCAUCUUAGUUUAACUGUGUACUACAAGAAAGCAGUAAGGUUAACAAGGGUUGGUGGAGAGUAGAGGUUCUUCAUCUAGGUUCUACAUGCCAGUAUUUAGCUGGUCACGUUUUUUAUCAUGUACAAUUUUUAUGUGAUUCUAGCACCAAGAUAGAAAAUUGUGUUGUUGGAUUAUGCUCCAAAAUCCCAGUUUCAGAUAAGAAAUGCUCAUCAUGUGAUAAUUCACCUACAUUCUUGGAUUUUUGUCAGAUUCAUUCUAGCCAGGGCUCAGUAAAAUGAUGUUGGUUUGACGGGAUACAACGGUCUACAAACCUUCUCAAAAAGCAAUGUGAUUAAUGCCUUUUGUGUCAUGUGCGCGUUUGUUGAUUGUUGUAUUGCAAAUGAAGUCAAGCCUUCCUUUGCGCUGUACUUCUCCCAAGGUUCACAUCAUUAAUCAACUUUGUACUUCUAGUAAAGGUUUGCCUUUUGUUAUGCUCGUCGGUUUGCUGCAAUAAUGCAUGGGAUUAAUUAUGUUUAUUGUGAAAUGGCUUUAUCUGAUGGAAGUGAAGUCUAAUUAUGAAACACUUAAUGUUUGAAAUUACAUGGCAGUCAUGUUUGUAACUACAUCAUUAUGAAUCUGAUUGUGUGAGAAACUGAUACAGUGAAAAUAGAUAGGAAAGUUCUUUUGUUGUCAGUGGCGAGCUUGUACCAAAAUGUGGAUUGAUUCAUAAGUAGAAAAUAAUGAUACUAAACUCUGCCCCUGUUGAUGUGCUCUUUGAAGUUGAAGAGAUCAAUCCUACGUCAUGGAUGCGUGAGAGAAAUUGACCCGCAACUACUCUCUGUGACCAAUUGAUAGAAUCACGUCAAUGCCAAACAGAGUCUCACUGAUAAAGUUAUCAAAUUAUUCAACGUCAUCACCCAAACAACGACUAAAUUAAAGUAGCCGUUUACAUCAAAGUUGUUUGUAAGAAACUUGGGCACGCAAUCGCUUGUUGUCGGCAUGCUUGCCCCACUGCCAAGAUUUGUUAGCUAAGCAUUCAUCUACUCACAGUAGACCUAACAGAGAUAUAUAAUUGCAUAAUUCCUCUUGGCUGCACACUGGGAGGUUUGAAAUACAAGUACCUGGAUUUCUUGUAGAUAAGAGCAUUCCACAAGAGUAGCUUUCAUGGUCAUAGAAAAUAGAUACUGAACUUCCAUCCUACCCGUAUGCACUGUGCAUUGUUUAUGUCCUUUCACUUUCAUUUUAAUCAUUCAAGGAAAACAUGAAAUCUUUUUUUUCGACAUCUGCAAGGUUGAUAUUGCUUACUCAAUAUGGAUAUUUAUAGCAGCAUAACUGGAUAAGUGAUGUAUAUGCCUUGUGUGGCACUCGUAGCAAUAUGCAGUCCAGUAAUGCUGGGGGGCAUAAAUCAAUUUAUAUUUUGUUAUUCAAUGGUACAUCAACCUACGGACAUCAAUGGAUAUUUUGUGGCAUACAUAAACCUACGGACAAUAAUGGAUGUGUUUGUGGAAUUAUAGGUGGUAGAUAUCUUUGUUGACUUGGAGAUUAGACGGGAAGGAAGAGAAGACUAAAGAAAAUACUUAGAUUUAUGCCUUGGGUAUCUCUCAUUUAAAGCUGUAGACAGAAACGGAAUGUUAUGUCUUCAGAACCUAGAUGUUUGGAUCUUAUCUGCUGCUACUAAGUGUCUUUUUCAGCUCAUGUGUUAUCUAAUAAGCAUGGAGCCUUUUUAUUAGACUGAAUUAGCUUGCAUGCUAGUUAUGGAUAAGCAGAUCCUUUGGCAUAGAGUCAUGAAUCGAAUCUAUAAACGAUAAUAUUUUUUAUUUCACUUAGAAUAUGCUAUCUUUUACUAUGUUCAUUUGAUCAAAAGCGUCAUCUUGUACAAUUCAACUUUUAUCCCAAAAGCAUCAUGCAACAUUUCUUUUGUCAAAGUUGGAGAAAAGUUGGGCAUCCAUCAGCAUUUUCUUGAUUCUCGCGAACAUUUUUUCUUAUUCACUACAUAAGUUAUGAGAUUAAGAGUUGAUUGGCUCACUGCUUUGUUUGAAAUUAUAAUUGACUGCAUUUUUGGAUGACUUGUUAUUUUUCCAACAGGGAACAGUUCGAUCCAAAAGUUUUCACAGAUGCAAAUUCCUUGAUGCCAUAGACAUUGGAUGCAGAUGAGCAUUCUAUCUCUCUCAGUCUUGACAUAGAUUCUGCAGUUGUAGCAAGAAAUCUCUGUUUGCUUGCUGGUUGGUCCACUUUUUAGGUGUUCUUAGGUAGGAAAAACAAGCCACAGUAUGGAUUUGUGAUAUUUUUUAGACAACAGGUCAACAGCAACAAUAGCGUCGUCGCUGUCUGUUAAGGAACAAUCCCAAGAGGCGCACUGCAAACAAGGAUACAGUUCAGGUCUCUUGUUCUUUCUUUUCCCCCACUCCAUCCCCGCUGCAUUCAUUCCUAGACAAAGCUUAACCCUUCAUGUGUUCCUUUCAUCUUUUGGGCAGGAAAAACAUCUCUGCACCAACCAGGAGAAUAUCAGUGGGAGCAGUGUCCAGAAAGGCGGCCGCUUAUGGCUCGGCGGCAUAUAGGCUCCAGACGACGCGCUCUCAUCUCGCUCACUGGUCGUUGGUCGAUUUAUCCUGCAUAAUCGGUGAUUUGGCGCUUGUCUGCGGUGUCACAACUGUCGAGCGCCUUACUGAACACUGAGUGCAGUGAGUGAGAAGUUAUGUUCUCAAAUGUCUGGUGCAGAGACCAGAGUGUCUCCAUCUACGGGCUUGCUUUUCUUCCAUGUGCCAGAGAUUCCUUAUGUACUUGGCACAUUUUUGUUAGUGUUCUAGUGUGUUCUGUCACCUGUUUUACCUCUGUCAGAUAUAUAAAUUGUAUCUAUGCAGAAAUGUGAAUUGAUCAAAUGAAGCUUUAUUUUUCGAGAGAGGAAAUGAUAAAUGGAGCUUAAAUUUACUUUGUAGUGUA